UUCGGUUAGCGAGCCCCUACUACUACUCAAACAACAACAACCCGAGAGAGAUUGUAUAAUAAUUGUUCGAAAUGAGAAGCAUCAGAAACAGAAACAGAAACCAUGAUGAAUACCGCAAGUAAGAUGAUAUGAAAGACAAAGAGGACCAGCAACAGCAAAACGCCACAAAUUUUUUCACUCAGAUGUGAGGGGGCAAGUUCCCACUAACGGACAUGCAUU
rnacentral:lncRNA from 1 species